rnacentral:rRNA from 1 species
GGAUCUCGUACGUGACCUGCGGAGGGUCAUUACACAAAUAUGAAGGCGGGCUGGAACCUCUCGGGGUUACAGCCUUGCUGAAUUAUUCACCCUUGUCUUUUGCGUACUUCUUGUUUCCUUGGUGGGUUCGCCCACCACUAGGACAAACAUAAACCUUUUGUAAUUGCAAUCAGCGUCAGUAACAAAUUAAUAAUUACAACUUUCAACAACGGAUCUCUUGGUUCUGGCAUCGAUGAAGAACGCAGCGAAAUGCGAUAAGUAGUGUGAAUUGCAGAAUUCAGUGAAUCAUCGAAUCUUUGAACGCACAUUGCGCCCUUUGGUAUUCCAAAGGGCAUGCCUGUUCGAGCGUCAUUUGUACCCUCAAGCUUUGCUUGGUGUUGGGCGUCUUGUCUCUAGCUUUGCUGGAGACUCGCCUUAAAGUAAUUGGCAGCCGGCCUACUGGUUUCGGAGCGCAGCACAAGUCGCACUCUCUAUCAGCAAAGGUCUAGCAUCCAUUAAGCCUUUUUUUCAACUUUUGACCUCGGAUCAGGUAGGGAUACCCGCUGAACUUAA